rnacentral:rRNA from 1 species
AUUGAACGCUGGCGGCAGGCCUAACACAUGCAAGUCGAGCGGAUGAAGGGAGCUUGCUCCUGGAUUCAGCGGCGGACGGGUGAGUAAUGCCUAGGAAUCUGCCUGGUAGUGGGGGAUAACGUCCGGAAACGGGCGCUAAUACCGCAUACGUCCUGAGGGAGAAAGUGGGGGAUCUUCGGACCUCACGCUAUCAGAUGAGCCUAGGUCGGAUUAGCUAGUUGGUGGGGUAAAGGCCUACCAAGGCGACGAUCCGUAACUGGUCUGAGAGGAUGAUCAGUCACACUGGAACUGAGACACGGUUCAGACUCCUACGGGAGGCAGCAGUGGGGAAUAUUGGACAAUGGGCGAAAGCCUGAUCCAGCCAUGCCGCGUGUGUGAAGAAGGUCUUCGGAUUGUAAAGCACUUUAAGUUGGGAGGAAGGGCAGUAAGUUAACACCUUGCUGUUUUGACGUUACCAACAGAGUAAGCACCGGCUAACUUCGUG